rnacentral:rRNA from 1 species
GAUGAACGCUGGCGGCGUGCCUAACACAUGCAAGUCGAACGAACAGACGGGGAGCUUGCGCCGGUGACGGUUGCGGGGCGCGGGGGUGAAACACGUGGAUAUCACCUGUAUAAGACUGGGGGAACUCCGCAAAACCGGGUCUAAUACCCGAGAUCUUCUUGAUCUGUCGGGUGCAGGAUUGGAGGACGGUUUUGCUGUUGGUUGUUGUUGGAUGGGCGCCGCAUUGGGUAGUUGGUAGGGUAAGGGCUUACCAAGGCAACGAUGCGUAGCCGACCUGAGAGGGUGAUCGGCCACACUGGAACUGAGACACGGUCCAGACUCCUACGGGAGGCAGCAGUGGGGAAUCUUACACAAUGGGCGAAAGCCUGACGUAGCAACGCCGCGUGGGUGAAGAAGGUCUUCGGAUCGUAAAGCACUGUUAUUAGGGAAGAAAAAAUGUGUAAGUACCUGUGCGCGUGUUGACGGUACCUGAACAAAAAGCCCCGGCUAACUACGUG